UACGAAGGGGGCUAGCGUUGUUCGGAUUUACUGGGCGUAAAGCGCGCGCAGGCGGCUUUGCAAGUCAGGGGUGAAAUCCCAGAGCUCAACUCUGGAAUUGCCUUUGAGACUGUGAGGCUUCGAGUACGGGAGAGGUGAGUGGAAUUCCCAGUGUAGAGGUGAAAUUCGUAGAUAUUGGGAAGAACACCGGUGGCGAAGGCGGGCUACUGGGCCGAUACUGACGCUGAUGCGCGAAAGCCAGGGGAGCGAACGGG
rnacentral:rRNA from 1 species